GGAUCAGUACGUUGGUCGUGCCUUAGGUACGUACUGGUGUUACUGGUUCCUAUCUUCUGACGAACCAUCAUGUCAUUCAUUUGGUGUGGCGGGGAAUCAGGACUGUUACUUUGAAAAAAUUAGAGUGUUUAAAGCAGGCUCGCGCUUGAAUACAUUAGCAUGGAAUAAUGAAAUAGGACGUUGAUCCUAUUUUGUUGGUUUCUAGGAUUGACGUAAUGAUUAAUAGGGAUAGUUGGGGGCAUUAGUAUUCAAUUGUCAGAGGUGAAAUUCUUGGAUUUAUUGAAGACUAACUACUGCGAAAGCAUUUGCCAAGGAUGUUUUCAUUAAUCAAGAACGAAAGUUAGGGGAUCGAAGACGAUCAGAUACCGUCGUAGUCUUAACCAUAAACUAUGCCGACUAGGGAUCGGAUGAUGUUAAUUUUUUAAUGACUCAUUCGGCGCCUUACGGGAAACCAAAGUGUUUGGGUUCCGGGGGGAGUAUGGUCGCAAGGCUGAAACUUAAAGGAAUUGACGGAAGGGCACCACCAGGGGUGGAGCCUGCGGCUUAAUUUGACUCAACACGGGGAAACUCACCAGGUCCAGACAUAGUUAGGAUUGACAGAUUGAGAGC
rnacentral:rRNA from 1 species